rfam:Puccinia triticina 1-1 BBBD Race 1 supercont2.29, whole genome shotgun sequence.
GUGUGUUUAGCUCAGUGGUAUGAGAGCAGCUUUCAUGAACGUAGAAGGUCGUGGGUUCAAAUCCCACAACACACA